ACGGGAGGCAGCAGUGGGGAAUAUUGCACAAUGGAGGAAACUCUGAUGCAGCGAUGCCGCGUGAGGGAAGAAGGUUUUCGGAUUGUAAACCUCUGUCAUCAGGGACGAAAUGACGGUACCUGAGAAGGAAGCUCCGGCUAACUACGUGCCAGCAGCCGCGGUAAUACGUAGGGAGCGAGCGUUGUCCGGAAUUACUGGGUGUAAAGGGAGCGUAGGCGGGACUUUAAGUCAGGUGUGAAAUAUACGGGCUCAACUCGUAGACUGCACUUGAAACUGAGGUUCUUGAGUGAAGUAGAGGCAGGCGGAAUUCCUAGUGUAGCGGUGAAAUGCGUAGAUAUUAGGAGGAACAUCAGUGGCGAAGGCGGCCUGCUGGGCUUUUACUGACGCUGAGGCUCGAAAGCGUGGGGAGCAAACAGGAUUAGAUACCCUGGUA
rnacentral:rRNA from 1 species